rnacentral:rRNA from 1 species
UACAGAGGUGGCAAGCGUUGUUCGGAAUUACUGGGCGUAAAGGGCGCGUAGGCGGCCUCCUAAGUCAGACGUGAAAUCCCCCGGCUUAACCUGGGAACUGCGUCUGAUACUGGGAGGCUAGAGUGCGGGAGAGGGAUGCGGAAUUCCAGGUGUAGCAGGUGAAAUGCGUAGAUAUCUGGAGGAACACCGGUGGCGAAGGCGGCAUCCUGGACCGACACUGACGCUGAGGCGCGAAAGCUAGGGUAGCAAACGGG